AUCUUAUCAAGAGUGGUUGAGGGACUGGCCCGAUGAAACCCAGCAACAGCUAGUUUAAAAUGUUAAACUGGAAAUGUGCUAAUUCCUGCAGGAAAUAUCCUGGAAGAUAAGAA
rfam:Clostridium sp. HMP27 Clostridium-HMP27_contig_18, whole genome shotgun sequence.